rnacentral:rRNA from 1 species
UACGUAGGGGGCAAGCGUUAUCCGGAUUUACUGGGUGUAAAGGGGGCGCAGACGGCGAUGCAAGCCAGGAGUGAAAGCCCGGGGCCCAACCCCGGGACUGCUCUUGGAACUGCGUGGCUGGAGUGCAGGAGGGGCAGGCGGAAUUCCUGGUGUAGCGGUGAAAUGCGUAGAUAUCAGGAGGAACACCGGUGGCGAAGGCGGCCUGCUGGACCGCGACUGACGUUGAGGCUCGAAAGCGUGGGGAGCGAACGGG